AGAGCGGAACCGAAAGGCCUGUUUGCGCCGGAAUCCGAACAAAGUCUCCUUUUCUGGGUCUGCUUUGGGUACUCAGCUUGACUCCAUACAAAUGGAGGAAGAGGGGGCUGCAAGCAGAGGCGGCCCUAGGUAAUUUUCAAUGACCUCCAGAACUACAAGGAACCUGCAUGGAGGAGCCCUCUCUCAGGACUCACAUCAUCGAAGUGAGGCCAGCAUCGAAGGAAAAGGGUGAGGAUGCCCUCCUUUGACAUGGCUCCUUCGGCGUCGCUGACAGGGGAAUUGCCCUCAACAAAAAUGGCCGUCCAAACCGAUGAUGGGAAAAGGCGUGCACCCUUAACCAAAAUGGCCGCUCCGGCCUCGCUGACCAGCCCCUGAUAGAAGAGAUGGGCGGCAGUGCCCACUUCCAAGAUGGCGGAGGGGGCGGCGCCAUCUUGUUACCUAACGUCAGGCGGUGAGAGUUGAGAGGAGGAGAAGGAAGGAAGGAGAGUGGCGGCGGCGGCGGGAAGAUGGCCGAGAGCGAGCGGCAGGCCGCAACCACUGGAGGUAUGAUGGGGGCUGCUUCCAUAGUGGAAAACCUCAAAGGAUUACGAAGAGGCAACCCUAGCAGACAUCCCCUGCUUGGUUUCUGGCCUUCAAGGAACCAAACACGCUGGUACAGUAGGCCAGUAUGUUACACCCAGCAGGAACCAGAGCAGCAGCUGUGUUCCUUCAGAGCAAGGAGACAGUGGGGAGGGAGGGUCAGUGGGACACCCAGCCCUUUUGGGGGGCCUGAUGGGGGACUCAGACUCUCCACUGGGAAGUAAACCUUUUCUUUCCUUUU